rnacentral:rRNA from 1 species
AACGAACGCUGGCGGCAUGCCUAACACAUGCAAGUCGAACGAGACCUUCGGGUCUAGUGGCGCACGGGUGCGUAACGCGUGGGAACCUGCCCUUAGGUUCGGAAUAACUCCCCGAAAGGGGUGCUAAUACCGGAUAAUGUCUUCGGACCAAAGAUUUAUCGCCUUUGGAUGGGCCCGCGUUGGAUUAGCUAGUUGGUAGGGUAAAAGCCUACCAAGGCGACGAUCCAUAGCUGGUCUGAGAGGAUGAUCAGCCACACUGGGACUGAGACACGGCCCAGACUCCUACGGAAGGCAGCAGUGGGGAAUAUUGGACAAUGGGCGAAGGCCUGAUCCAGCAAUGCCGCGUGAGUGAUGAAGGCCUUAGGGUUGUAAAGCUCUUUUACCCGGGAUGAUAAUGACAGUACCGGGAGAAUAAGCUCCGGCUAACUCCGUG